AACGCACAUUGCGCCCGCCAGUAUUCUGGCGGGCAUGCCUGUUCGAGCGUCAUUUCAACCCUCAAGCCCCCGGGCUUGGUGUUGGGGCUCGGCCCGUCCCUAGCGGCGCGCCGUCCCCGAAAUUCAGUGGCGGUCACGCUGUACUCCUCUGCGUAGUAAUUACACCUCGCAACGGGACAAAGCGCGGCCACGCCGUUAAACCCCCAACUUCUGAAGGUUGACCUCGGAUCAGGUAGGAAUACCCGCUGAACUUAA
rnacentral:misc_RNA from 1 species